UACGUAGGGGGCUAGCGUUGUCCGGAAUCGAUUGGGCGUAAAGAGCGUGUAGGCGGUCCGGUAAGUCCGCUGUGAAAGUCGGGGGCUCAACCCUCGAAUGCCGGUGGAUACUGUCGGGCUAGAGUGCGGAAGAGGCGAGUGGAAUUCCUGGUGGUAGCGGUGAAAUGACGCAGAUAUCAGGAGGAACACCUAUUGCGAAGGCAGCUCGCUGGGACGUAACUGACGCUGAGACGCGAAAGCGUGGGGAGCAAACAGG
rnacentral:rRNA from 1 species